UCAUGUUUUGGGGUUUCCAUCCCUUAUGUUAUUCAUGUUCUGGGGUUUCAGCACACGCCCCAGAACCUCUAUAAAUAGGGUUGAUUGCCACACACCUGUUUUGCCACUUCCACCUGAGUUGCCACAGGAUGCAGGUUAUGUUGGGUAGGGUCAGCAAGCAGCACAUUGCAGUUCAUGUGCCUGUUGCUACUCACCACUUGUGUGAGAGGAGUUUUGCGCCCUUGGUAGGCGAAGCGAGUUUCACGGUGCUCAUGAGGAAAUAAAAUUUGUACCAGUUGAGCUCUACGCCUCCUUAUUGAUACCAAGGGUCGCUACAGUGAAACUCGGCGCUGCAUGGGAGCCAUCUUCUACAGAGUGCCAUCAUCCAUCUGCGGCUUCAGCAUGCUACAACUACAGUGAGAGACUUUUGGUAGCUGAGGGUAAAGUCACUCGGAGAUACUGAACUGUUUUUGAGUAAAGGUUGAGCAUUUGACGCUAUCUGCUCAUUUCUAUUGUAUGAGACAAUGGACAUUUAACAAAUUUAAAUGGCAUAACCUGAAUAAUUUACUAAUGCUCUGAAGGUGUGGUGAUUCCCUGCAUUUGUUUGAAUUGAAAUUGUUGGUUUAAAAAAAAAAAAAAA